rnacentral:rRNA from 1 species
CAGCGCCACAAGUGGCAAUCACGUUUAUUGGGCCUAAAGCGUCCGUAGCCGGUUUAGCAAAUCUUUUGUGAAAUCGUCAGGCUUAACUUGACGAAUUGCAGAAGACACUACUAAACUAGGGACUGGGAGGAGUCAGAAGUAUUCUAGGGGGACCGGUAAAAUGGUAUAAUCCCUAGAGGACUGCCGAUGGCGAAGGCAUCUGACCAGAACGGAUCCGACUGUGAGGGACGAAAGCUAGGGGAGCAAACCGGAUUAGAUACCCGAGUAGUCC